rnacentral:rRNA from 1 species
AUAAUGGGUCAGCGACUUAUAUUCUGUAGCAAGGUUAACCGAAUAGGGGAGCCGAAGGGAAACCGAGUCUUAACUGGGCGUUAAGUUGCAGGGUAUAGACCCGAAACCCGGUGAUCUAGCCAUGGGCAGGUUGAAGGUUGGGUAACACUAACUGGAGGACCGAACCGACUAAUGUUGAAAAAUUAGCGGAUGACUUGUGGCUGGGGGUGAAAGGCCAAUCAAACCGGGAGAUAGCUGGUUCUCCCCGAAAGCUAUUUAGGUAGCGCCUCGUGAAUUCAUCUCCGGGGGUAGAGCACUGUUUCGGCAAGGGGGUCAUCCCGACUUACCAACCCGAUGCAAACUGCGAAUACCGGAG